rnacentral:misc_RNA from 1 species
UCCGGGUUUCGCCCGGCAGUCUCCCUAGAACAUUCAACUAAGGGUGUCCUCUGUUGUCUAGCCCGGGUAAGGUUCUUCGCGUUGCGUCGAAUUGAACCACAUGCUCCACCGCUUGUGCGGGCCCCCGUCAAUUCCUUUGAGUUUUAACCUUGCGGCCGUAGUCCCCAGGCGGGGCACUUAAUGCGUUAGCUGCGGCACCGCAGGGGUCAAUACCCGCGACACCUAGUGCCCAUCGUUUACAGCGUGGACUAC